rnacentral:rRNA from 1 species
AGAGUUUGAUCCUGGCUCAGAAUCAACGCUGGCGGCGUGCCUAACACAUGCAAGUCGAGCGCGAAAGGGGAGCAAUCCCUGAGUAGAGUGGCAAACGGGUGAGUGACACGUGGGUGACCUGCCUCAGAGUGGGGGAUAACGUCCCGAAAGGGACGCUAAUACCGCAUAACAUCCUGCCUUUGGAAAGGCGGAGAUCAAAGCCGGGGAUCGCAAGACCUGGCGCUUGGAGAGGGGCCCGCGUCUGAUUAGCUAGUUGGUAGGGUAAUGGCCUACCAAGGCGACGAUCAGUAUCCGGCCUGAGAGGGCGGACGGACACACUGGGACUGAGACACUGCCCGGACUCCUACGGGAGGCUGCAGCGACGAAUCUUCCGCAAUGGGCGCAAGCCUGACGGAGCGACGCCGCGUGUGGGAUGAAGCGUCUUCGACGUGUAAACCACUGUCAGAGAACAGAAACACUGAUUGUUCUCAGAGGAAGGGGCGACUAACUCUGUGCCAGCAGUCGCGGUAAGACAGAGGCCCCGAGCGUUAAUCGGAAUUACUGGGCUUAAAGGGUGCGUAGGUGGACCAGCAAGUGCUUUGUGAAAGCCCCCGGCUCAACCGGGGAACAGCGGGGCAUACUGCUGGUCUUGAGGAAGGUAGGGGCCGCGAGAACUGUAGGUGGAGCGGUGAAAUGCGUAGAUAUCUACAGGAAUGCCGAUGGUGAAGACGCGCGGCUGGGCCUUUCCUGACACUGAGGCACGAAAGCGUGGGGAGCAAACAGGAUUAGAUACCCUGGUAGUCCACGCCGUAAACCAUGCACGCUAGAUCGGGGUGGCUCUGACGCCGGCUCGGUCGAAGCAAAAGCGAUAAGCGUGCCGCCUGGGGAGUACGGUCGCAAGGCUAAAACUCAAAGGAAUUGACGG